ACUGUGCUCUAAUGUGAGAGGGAACCCCCUGGGGUUCCCCCUAU
rnacentral:rRNA from 1 species